AUUGAACGCUGGCGGCAUGCCUUACACAUGCAAGUCGAACGGUAACAGGGAGCUUGCUCCGCUGACGAGUGGCGAACGGGUGAGUAAUGCGUCGGAACGUGCCGAGUAGUGGGGGAUAACGCAGCGAAAGUUGUGCUAAUACCGCAUACGUACUGAGGUAGAAAGUGGGGGACCUUCGGGCCUCACGCUAUUCGAGCGGCCGACGUCUGAUUAGCUAGUAGGUGAGGUAAAGGCUCACCUAGGCGACGAUCAGUAGCGGGUCUGAGAGGAUGAUCCGCCACAAUGGGACUGAGACGCGGCCCAGACGCCGACGGGAGGCAGCAGUGGGGAAUUUUGGACAAUGGGCGAAAGUCUGAUCCAGCCAUGCCGCGUGUCUGAAGAAGGCCUUCGGGUUGUAAAGGACUUUUGUCGGGGAGGAAAUCCCCAGCGCUAAUACCGCUGGGGGAUGUCAGUACCUGAAGAAUAAGCACCGGCUAACUACGUGCCAGCCGCCGCGGUAAAAC
rnacentral:rRNA from 1 species